rnacentral:rRNA from 1 species
UACGGGGGGAGCAAGCGUUGUUCGGAUUUACUGGGCGUAAAGGGCGCGUAGGCGGUCGUGACAAGUCACUUGUGAAAUCUCCGGGCUUAACCCGGAGCGGUCAAGUGAUACUGUCGGACUAGAGUACAGAAGGGGCAACUGGAAUUCUCGGUGUAGCGGUGAAAUGCGUAGAUAUCAGGAGGAACACCGGUGGCGAAGGCGGGUCUCUGGGCCGUAACUGACGCUGAGGAGCGAAAGCAUGGGGAGCGAACAGG